GCCUCUGUAGCUCAGUUGGUUAGAGCGGUGCACCAGAAUCGCAGGGCCGUAGGUUCAAUUCCUACCAGAGGAC
rnacentral:tRNA from 1 species